GGUUCCUUUUCCUCAGAGCUUGAAACUUCAUCAUUACUCCAUGUGGCCAUCAUGGCCUUCUUUCUAAACUCUUUGAACUUUUCUUGAGUAGGGGUAGCCGGCUCUAAGGUGAUCGGGUCUUUUGCAUUCAUAAUAGAUAGCUAGUUGAUCAUUCUCUUUAUCUUUUUUCAUUUCUUUGCUUCCUUCCCCUCUAAUGUAACCUUUUUUCUUGGUGCCAA
rnacentral:lncRNA from 1 species